UAAAAGCGUACAUUUCAGACCUAAAAAAAAUGGAAAAUCAACUUGUCUAAAAUUUAAUUUCAAGAGUUAUAUUGAAUACCUCUAUAAUAGACCUGUUUGUAAACAAAAAGUGCAAUCUUAAAUAUUCUUUAAAAUGAUAUUAUUUUCAUAAUUUGUGUACUGUUUCGUAGGGGACUUUUGUCCCCUACGAAACUUCUUCUAAACACACAUAUUUUUUUGCAAUUUUAAAUGUUUCCUAUAGACAUUCCAGUUUGUUUACUUUAAAUACUAGAAAAAUAUCAUUUUUUUUCUGAAUUAGAAAAUCAUUUUUAUCGAAAAAGAUUAGACAGUACUUCACAUAUGAAGGUUCAACUCAUGUUACGUAGUGGACAUUUUGAUGCGUUUCGCAGUGGACAAAACCGUUUCGUAGUGGACAAAAAGUUUCGUAGUUGACAUCAACCCUAUUAUAUGUUAAUAAAAACAUAUUAAAAAUUACAUGAAACUUACCCUUGUUAUUUGUUUUGCACGAAUAUAAUUGAAAAAAGAUUAAAAAAAAGACUCCAUGGUAGUGGUAGUGUCCACUACGAAACGUUUUUCUCCCAUACUUGUUUCGUAGGGGACCGUUUCGUAAGGGACGUAUUCGCAUGCUUUAUUUUUUCCCCACAAUCCCUAUAUUGCAAUAGUAACAAGACUGAUUGUAUUCAUCAAAGCAUUUAUCAAGCUGUACACUGAUAUUUUUUCAUAAUUUUAAAACCAGAU
rnacentral:lncRNA from 1 species